GAUGAAGAACGUAGCGAAAUGCGAUAAGUAAUGUGAAUUGCAGAAUUCAGUGAAUCAUCGAAUCUUUGAACGCACAUUGCGCCCGCCAGUAUUCUGGCGGGCAUGCCUGUUCGAGCGUCAUUUCAACCAUCAAGCCCCCGGCUUGUGUUGGGGACCUGCGGCUGCCGCAGGCCCUGAAAAGCAGUGGCGGGCUCGCUGUCACACCGAGCGUACUAGCAUACAUCUCGCUCUGGGCGUGCUGCGGGUUCCGGCCGUUAAACCACCUUCAUAACCCAAGGUUGACCUCGGAUCAGGUAGGAAGACCCGCUGAACUUAAGCAUAUCAAUAAGCGGAGGA
rnacentral:misc_RNA from 1 species